GAGACAGCAGCCGCCGCGGUAAUACGAAGGGGGCUAGCGUUGUUCGGAUUUACUGGGCGUAAAGGGUGCGUAGGCGGAUUGUUAAGUCAGGGGUGAAAUCCCGAGGCUCAACCUCGGAACUGCCUUUGAUACUGGCGAUCUUGAGUCCGGGAGAGGUGAGUGGAACUGCGAGUGUAGAGGUGAAAUUCGUAGAUAUUCGCAAGAACACCAGUGGCGAAGGCGGCUCACUGGACGACUGUUGACGCUGAGGUACGAAAGCGUGGGGAGCAAACAGGAUUAGAGACCCCGGUAGUCCCUGUCUCUUAUAC
rnacentral:rRNA from 1 species